GACGAACGCUGGCGGCGUGCUUAACACAUGCAAGUCGAACGGAAAGGCCCUGCGUUUGUGGGGUGCUCGAGUGGCGAACGGGUGAGUAACACGUGAGUAACCUGCCCUUGACUUUGGGAUAACUUCAGGAAACUGGGGCUAAUACCGGAUAGGAGCUCCUGCUGCAUGGUGGGGGUUGGAAAGUUUCGGCGGUUGGGGAUGGACUCGCGGCUUAUCAGCUUGUUGGUGGGGUAGUGGCUUACCAAGGCUUUGACGGGUAGCCGGCCUGAGAGGGUGACCGGCCACAUUGGGACUGAGAUACGGCCCAGACUCCUACGGGAGGCAGCAGUGGGGAAUAUUGCACAAUGGGCGGAAGCCUGAUGCAGAAACGCCGCGUGCGGGAUGACGGCCUUCGGGUUGUAAACCGCUUUCGCCUGUGACGAAGCGUGAGUGACGGUAAUGGGUAAAGAAGCACCGGCUAACUACGUG
rnacentral:rRNA from 1 species